rnacentral:rRNA from 1 species
AUUGAACGCUGGCGGCAGGCCUAACACAUGCAAGUCGAACGAGUGGCGGACGGGUGAGUAUUGUCUGGGAAACUGCCUGAUGGAGGGGGAUAACUACUGGAAACGGUAUCUAAUACCGCAUACCAUCAGAUGUGCCCAGAUGGGAUUCGCUAGUAGGGGGGGUAACGGCUCACCUAGGCGACGAUCCCUAGCUGGUCUGAGAGGAUGACCCGCCACACGGGAACGGAGACACGGUCCAGACUCCUACGGGAGGCAGCAGUGGGGAAUAGGGCACAAUGGGCGCAAGCCUGAUGCAGCCAUGCCGCGGGUAUGAAGAAGGCCUUCGGGUUGUAAAGUACUUUCAGCGGGGAGGCGUUACCCGCAGAAGAAGCACCGGCUAACUCCGUGCCAGCAGCCGCGGUAAUAC